UCUUAUGGAUGAGCAAAGAAAGUGGUUUCUUGAGAUAAGUCUAUUUCUGGUGGAGAUGCUGUGAA
rnacentral:pre_miRNA from 1 species